GUGAGGAAUAUUGCGCAAUGGAGGCAACUCUGACGCAGCCAUGCCGCGUGCAGGAAGAAGGCGCUACGCGUUGUAAACUGCUUUUAACCGGGAAGAAACCCCAGGACGUGUCCUGGGUUGACGGUACCGGAGGAAUAAGCACCGGCUAACUUCGUGCCAGCAGCCGCGGUAAUACGAAGGGUGCAAGCGUUAUCCGGAAUCAUUGGGUUUAAAGGGUGCGUAGGCGGAGCGUUAAGUCAGUGGUGAAAUCCUGCAGCUUAACUGUAGACUUGCCAUUGAUACUGGAGCUCUUGAGUGCGCUUGAAGUGGGCGGAAUGUGCCGUGUAGCGGUGAAAUGCUUAGAUAUGGCACAGAACACCAAUUGCGAAGGCAGCUCACUAAGGCGAUACUGACGCUGAGGCACGAAAGCGUGGGGAUCGAACAGGAUUAGAAACCCUGGUAGUCC
rnacentral:rRNA from 1 species